rnacentral:lncRNA from 1 species
GUUGCCCUCUUGCAGGUUAGACGUUCCCCCAUCAGUGACCCACGCCAGCGAAGGGACAGGGGCCGCAAGAGCUGGAAGGGCAGCCGGGGAGCGAGUUGGUGCUGCUGCUUUUUCUCCUUGCUCGGUGCCUACGAGCAAAAGCAGCAUUGCAGCAAUGUAACACGAGAGCAGCUCUAAGGAAACGCUCCUGUGAACAAGUGUAGCUGACUUGUAAAAUGUGCUGCUGACGGAGAUCCGAGAGGCCCUGGGUGAGGCGCAGAAAAGAGCAAAUGUGAAGUUCACACCACAGCAAAUGUGAAGUCAGCAGUACGCAACCACAAGGCUGGGAACUUGGCCCUUUUCAGGGAAUGAACUCAGAAGCCUCGAUAACCCAAGACGCUUCCUCUCCUACCCUUCCUAGCCCAAUUUGGAUACUCCUGCUAGAAUGCCACUUUCAUACAAAGGCUGGCUUCAGAGAAUGUGCGGAGGCAAGAUUUCAUUUUGAGAACUGGAAAAGACUGAAGCUCAAUUACAGAUGGCAGACCCUUGAAAUACUGGAGGUGACUCUUCAGCAAGAGGACCAAAUCCCUGCCCUAAAUACAGUGAUAGUAUUUGGGGUGCCUCGACCAUGCUCUCAUAGGUCCCUUUGCCUUCAUGAAGGAUGUGUGUUUGUCAGUCUCGAAAGACUCCGCAC